CAAUAGCGUAUAUUAAAGUUGUUGCAGUUAAAAAGCUCGUAGUUGGAUUUCUGGUGGGAGCGAUCGGUCUGGCGCUUAGCGCGAGUACUUGCAUCGUCUCCGGCCAUCCUUGGGGAGUGUCUGUCUGGCAUUAGGUUGUCGGGCAGAGGAUCCUCAUCGUUUACUGUGAAAAAAUUAGAGUGUUCAAAGCAGGCUUAUGCCGUUGAAUAUAUUAGCAUGGAAUAAUAAGAUAGGACUUUGGUACUAUUUUGUUGGUUUGCGCACCAAAGUAAUGAUUAAUAGGGACAGUUGGGGGUAUUCGUAUUCCGUUGUCAGAGGUGAAAUUCUUGGAUUUACAGAAGACGAACUACUGCGAAAGCAUUUACCAAGGAUGUUUUCAUUAA
rnacentral:rRNA from 1 species